rnacentral:rRNA from 1 species
GACGAACGCUGGCGGCGUGCUUAACACAUGCAAGUCGAACGGAAAGGCCCUGCUUGCAGGGUACUCGAGUGGCGAACGGGUGAGUAACACGUGGGUGAUCUGCCCUGCACUUCGGGAUAAGCCUGGGAAACUGGGUCUAAUACCGGAUAGGAGCCAUUUUUAGUGUGAUUGUUGGAAAGUUUUUUCGGUGUAGGAUGAGCUCGCGGCCUAUCAGCUCGUUGGUGGGGUAAUGGCCUACCAAGGCGGCGGCGGGUGGCCGGCCGGAGAGGGUGGACGGCCACAUUGGGACUGAGACACGGCCCAGACGCAGACGGGAGGAAGGAGUGGGGAAUAUUGCACAAUGGGCGCAAGCCUGAUGCAGGGACGCCGGGUGGGGGAUGACGGACUUCGGGUUGUAAACUCCUUUCGCUAGGGACGAAGCUUUUUGUGACGGUACCUAGAUAAGAAGCGCCGGCUAACUACGUG